UACGUAGGGCGCAAGCGUUGUCCGGAAUUAUUGGGCGUAAAGAGCUUGUAGGCGGUCUGUUACGUCUGCUGUGAAAACCCGGGGCUUAACCCCGGGCUUGCAGUGGAUACGGGCAGACUAGAGGCAGGUAGGGGAGAAUGGAAUUCCCGGUGUAGCGGUGAAAUGCGCAGAUAUCGGGAGGAACACCGGUGGCGAAGGCGGUUCUCUGGGCCUGACCUGACGCUGAGGAGCGAAAGCGUGGGGAGCGAACAGG
rnacentral:rRNA from 1 species